ACGUAGGGGGCAAGCGUUGUCCGGAAUCAUUGGGCGUAAAGCGCGUGUAGGCGGCUUGAUAAGUCCGCUCUGAAAGCCCGGGGCUCAACCCCGGGAGGCGGGUGGAUACUGUCAAGCUCGAGUCCGGAAGAGGCGAGUGGAAUUCCUGGUGUAGCGGUGAAAUGCGCAGAUAUCAGGAGGAACACCAAUGGCGAAGGCAGCUCGCUGGGACGUGACUGACGCUGAGACGCGAAAGCGUGGGGAGCAAACAGGAUUAGAUACCCUGGUAGUCCACGCCGUAAACGAUGGGCACUAGGUGUGGGAGGUGUCGACUCCUCCCGUGCCGAAGCUAACGCAUUAAGUGCCCCGCCUGGGGAGUACGGCCGCAAGGCUA
rnacentral:rRNA from 1 species